rnacentral:rRNA from 1 species
AUUGAACGCUGGCGGCAGGCCUAACACAUGCAAGUCGAACGAGUGGCGGACGGGUGAGUAAUGUCUGGGAAACUGCCUGAUGGAGGGGGAUAACUACUGGAAACGGUAGCUAAUACCGCAUACCAUCAGAUGUUCCCAGGUGGGAUUAGCGUGUUGGGGGGGUAACGGCUCACCAAGGCGACGAUCCCUAGCUGGUCUGAGAGGAUGACCAGCCACACUGGAACGUAGACACGUGCCAGACUCCUACGGGAGGUAGCAGGGGGGAAUAUUGCACAAUGGGCGCAAGCCUGAUUCAGCCAUGCCGCGUGUAUGAAGAAGGCCUUCGGGUUUUAAAGUACUUUCAGCGGGGAGGCGUUACCCGCAGAAGAAGCACCGGCUAACUCCGUGCCAGCAGCCGCGGUAAUUC